GUCAUCAGAGUGUCGAUAGAUAUACCGUGAGGGUCAUCGGUAAGUCGAAUCAAGCGCUAAAGUGCCACCGACAUGGGUCUGGUCCAUUCGAUUCGAUAUAGUCCUUGAUCUAAGCUGGCGGAUCUGCCAUCAGACGGUCGACGUCACAGAGGUCUAGGCUACAGGAAGGCUACUGACACUUCCAGGUUACAGGCGUGCAAAGUCCGUACAUGAGAUUCUGGAGGGACAGACUAGCCGCGGAAGCUGAUCCCUGUGUAGAAAAAGCCAUAGACGUCCCAAGCGCGGAACAGUCAGUGCGUAGCAACACAAGGGAUCAGACAUACGCUCGUCAGUCAUCGCUCGUAAAUCGUAUGUCGAACUUGGAGGGUUGAUCACCUUGGAGGACUAGCCUCCCUCUGCUAAGACGUGUAAAGUCCACGUCUUGAGUAGUGGUGCCCGCAAUGGUGACAGCGGAAAUGACAUGAGGCUGGACAGCCCGACUGGGGCGCAUGUGGUCAGUACGAUGCAACGCGAAGAGCCUCCCCUACUCUAGCCAUGCAGAGAACAUAGAAGAGACCCGUUGUUCCCCUCGGAAACUCUGAGACAAGUGCUGCAAUUCUGCCUUCAGCUCGUGUUCUGACUGAAAGGGCUAAGCACCGCAAAGAGCUUCAUCAUACUCGCUUGCAUUGCCAGCAUCACGCUUGGGAACUCAAACAAGAUUCCCAGCGAUAACCUGGAGGAAGAGUCGGAUGCGUGUAUCAGUUCCAGGGCGGCUGGAGAACCUCUCAGCCCAGCCAGCAAUCGUAUACUAAAAGAGAAGCGACCCCACCAGCUCACUAAUCCCAUCUGAGCACAUCUGAAGUCAAGAGGGGAGAAGGCAACUCUCUUCCUCUUGCGACGAAAUGCGGUAUUAGCUACCGUUUCCAGUAGUUAUCCCCCUGCAUCAGGCAGUUUCCCAGACAUUACUCACCCGUACGCCACUCGUCACCCGAGACAAGCUAUGGCUACCUCGUACGACUGCAUUCCAAGCCUACUGUCCAA
rnacentral:rRNA from 1 species